rnacentral:rRNA from 1 species
UACGUAGGGGGCAAGCGUUGUCCGGAUUUAUUGGGCGUAAAGCGCUCGCAGGUGGUCCGCUGCGUCGUGCGUGAAAGACCCCGGCUCAACUGGGGGGCGUCGUGCGAUACGGGCGGACUGGAGGCCAGUAGGGGGAUGCGGAAUUCCGGGUGUAGUGGUGGAAUGCGUAGAGAUCCGGAGGAACACCAGCGGCGAAGGCGGCAUCCUGGACUGGUCCUGACACUCAUGAGCGAAAGCGUGGGGAGCGAUCCGG